rnacentral:rRNA from 1 species
GAGUCGAGUUAUUUGGGACUAUAGCUCUAAUAGUUUGGUUGGUGGUAAUGACACAUCAAAGGCUAAAUAUUGGUUAGUCGAUGCGUAUACUCGGAGACCGAUAGCAUACAAGUACCGCAAGGGAACGAUGAAAAGCACCCUAUUGAGUUCACGGGCUCAGACUGUCUCGCAAUUUAUUGCACGACGUCUUGCGCCCAACAACUACAGUGGGAGUGAAAGAGAGAGUGAAAUCGCCUAUACAAAUAUAUAUUAUGCGCUGUAUACACACUACACACAGCUCUGUGUAACAACAGUCUGCGUUAGUACAAUCGGACAGAGUGUCGUAUCACUUAUAUAUAUAAGCCGCCUAAUACGUAGUCUCACUGCGUAUUAUGGCUUUGGCUCAUAGCUGGCCUCGGCCGCUAUACGCGACACAACUGUACGACCCGUUUUGAAACACGGACCAAGGAGUUCAACUGGAUUACGAGUCGUCGAGUUAUUGUAUAUAUAUACAUAAACUCAUACGGCGUAGCGAAAGCAAUCUUAAUCCUAAGGUGCUAGGUUAAUGCCUCGUGUAUCGACCGCAGCACGCGCUGAGUGAGUAUACGUAUGCGGACCUCGCGUCAACGUACGUACCUUUGUGUAUUUAUACGCGGAGGAUCACUCAAGCGUUCAACGAGUAUAUCUUGUUGAGACCCGAAAGAUGGUGAACUAUGCUCGGAUAUGGCGAAGUCAGGUGAAAACUUGAUGGAAGCUUGCGUUGUGCGGAACUGACGUGCAAAUCGUUACCGCCUAACCUGAGUAUAGGGGCGAAAGACUCAUCGAACCAUCUAGUAGCUGGUUCCCUCCGAAGUUUCCCUCAGGAUAGC